rnacentral:rRNA from 1 species
ACACUGGAGAGUUUGAUCCUGGCUCAGGAUGAACGCUAGCGGCAGGCUUAACACAUGCAAGUCGAGGGGCAGCAAGGGUAGCAAUACCUGUUGGCGACCGGCGCACUGGUGAGUAACGCGUAUGCAACUUACCCUUAACAGGGGG